rnacentral:rRNA from 1 species
CCUACGGGCGGCUGCAGUGGGGAAUAUUGGACAAUGGGCGAAAGCCUGAUCCAGCCAUGCCGCGUGUGUGAAGAAGGCCUUCGGGUUGUAAAGCACUUUCAGUGGGGAAGAAAGCCUUGGGGCUAAUACCCUCGAGGAAGGACAUCACCCACAGAAGAAGCACCGGCUAACUCCGUGCCAGCGGCCGCGGUAAUACGGAGGGUGCGAGCGUUAAUCGGAAUUACUGGGCGUAAAGCGCGCGUAGGCGGUCUGAUAAGCCGGUUGUGAAAGCCCCGGGCUCAACCUGGGAACGGCAUCCGGAACUGUCAGGCUAGAGUGCAGGAGAGGAAGGUAGAAUUCCCGGUGUAGCGGUGAAAUGCGUAGAGAUCGGGAGGAAUACCAGUGGCGAAGGCGGCCUUCUGGACUGACACUGACGCUGAGGUGCGAAAGCGUGGGUAGCAAACAGGAUUAGAUACCCGGGUAGUC